rnacentral:rRNA from 1 species
CCUACGGGUGGCAGCAGUGGGGAAUAUUGCACAAUGGGGGAAACCCUGAUGCAGCGACGCCGCGUGAGCGAUGAAGUAUUUCGGUAUGUAAAGCUCUAUCAGCAGGGAAGAAGAUGACGGUACCUGACUAAGAAGCCCCGGCUAACUACGUGCCAGCAGCCGCGGUAAUACGUAGGGGGCAAGCGUUAUCCGGAUUUACUGGGUGUAAAGGGAGCGUAGACGGCGAUGCAAGACAGAUGUGAAAGCCCGGGGCUCAACCCCGGGACUGCAUUUGAAACUGUGUAGCUGGAGUGUAGGAGAGGCAAGCGGAAUGCCUAGUGUAGCGGUGAAAUGCAUAGAUAUUAGGAGGAACACCAGUGGCGAAGGCGGCCUACUGGACGAUAACUGACGUUGAGGCUCGAAAGCGUGGGGAGCAAACAGGAUUAGAUACCCUUGUAGUC